CAGCCGUAAACUAUGCGCGUUAGGUGUAUCGGUGACCACGAGUUACCGAGGUGCCGAAGGGAAACCGUGAAACGUGCCACCUGGGAAGUACGGUCGCAAGGCUGAAACUUAAAGGAAUUGGCGGGGGAGCACCACAACAGGUGGAGCCUGCGGUUUAAUUGGACUCAACGCCGGGAAGCUCACCGGAUAGGACAGCAGAAUGAUUGCCGGGCUGAAGACCCUGCAUGACUAGCUGAGAGGAGGUGCAUGGCGUCAGUGACU
rnacentral:rRNA from 1 species